GUAGGGAAUAUUGGACAAUGGGGGCAACCCUGAUCCAGCGACGCCGCGUGAGUGAUGAAGGCCUUCGGGUCGGAAAGCUCUGUUGCAGGGGAAGAACACAAUGACGGUACCCUGCUAGAAAGGAUCGGCUAACUUCGUGCCAGCAGCCGCGGUAAGACGAGGGAUCCUAGCGUUGUUCGGAAUUAUUGGGCGUAAAGCGGGUGCAGGUGGCUUGGUAAGUCAGAUGUGAAAGCCUGGGGCUUAACCCCAGAAGUGCAUUUGAUACUGCUGAGCUUGAGUGCUGGAGAGGCUAUUAGAAUUCCUGGUGUAGUGGUGAAAUACGUAGAUAUCAGGAGGAAUACCGGAGGCGAAGGCGGAUAGCUGGCCAGACACUGACACUCAGACCCGAAAGCGUGGGGAUCAAACAGGAUUAGAAACCCUAGUAGUCC
rnacentral:rRNA from 1 species